AGUAGAAUUUCGUGUGUAGGGGUGAAAUCCAAAGAUCUACGAAGGAAUGCCAAAAGCGAAGGCAACUCUCUGGGUCCCUACCAACGAUGGAGUGCGAAAGUAUGAGGAGCGAACAGGAUUAGAUACCCUGGUAGUCCAUGCCGUAAACGAUGAGUGUUCGCCCUUGGUGUAAAUCAGAGGCCCAACUAACACGUGAAACACUCCGCCUGGGGAGUACGGUCGUAAGACCGAAACUCAAAGGAAUUGACAGGGGCUUUCACAAGCGGUGGAGCAUGUGGUUUAAUUCAAUACAACGUGCAAAACCUUACCAACCCUUGACAUAUGAACCAACCUAUCCUUAACAGGAUGAUACUUUCAUACAUGUGCUACAUAGCUGUCCUCAGAAAUUCCAAUGAAAUUGAAGUG
rnacentral:rRNA from 1 species